GACGAACGCUGGCGGCGUGCUUAACACAUGCAAGUCGAACGGUGAAGCCCCAGCUUGCUGGAGUGGAUCAGUGGCGAACGGGUGAGUAACACGUGAGCAACCUGCCCCUGACUCUGGAAUAAGCGCUGGAAACGGCGGCUAAUACUGGAUACGAGAAGGGUCCGCAUGGGCACGGUCUGGAAAGUUUGUCGGUUGGGGAUGGGCUCGCGGCCUAUCAGCUUGUUGGUGAGGUAAUGGCUCACCAAGGCGACGACGGGUAGCCGGCCUGAGAGGGCGACCGGCCACACUGGGACUGAGACACGGCCCAGACUCCUACGGGAGGCAGCAGUGGGGAAUAUUGCACAAUGGGCGGAAGCCUGAUGCAGCGACGCCGCGUGAGGGAUGACGGCCUUCGGGUUGUAAACCUCUUUCAGCAGGGAAGAAGCGAAAGUGACGGUACCUGCAGAAGAAGCACCGGCUAACUACGUG
rnacentral:rRNA from 1 species